UAAACGCGAAAGUAGUGAACAAGCACCAGUGUUGGAUUUUUUCCCAUUUCCUUUUAAAUAUUUUAAGCAUAUUGCCUUUUUAUUUCUCUGAACUGUAUCGGCUUUUCCGAAACAGAUCGUUUUUUCAGCCGUUUUGUCUGGAUGUUUGUUUUCGCUUUGUGUUUACUCACAAAAGAUUCUGUUGCUUGACAGAAAUGCUGUAGGAUACAAGAGGCGAUGUUUAUAACGACAGAAUAAGGAUUUCUUCUUCUUCUUCUUCUUCUUCUUCAAUAAAUUAUUACCCUGAAAAGUUCUGCAAUGGAGUUUACAGAUGAAGAGAAACUCUGGCUGCAAAGAUUGUCUGCUGAAAUACCUGAAGGAAAUGAACUCACUUCAAAUGAGAAGCAGUUUUGGGAGAAAGCAAAGCCAGAGACUGAAUUUCAAGGCCAGUAUUUCCAGACAAUGGCCUCUAUACGAUUUGGACUGAAUGAUUCGGGCAGCACAGCCACAGCCAUGAAAAACCCUGUUCAUCAGAGAAGCUGCGUCGCUUCACCGUGUGGAUAAUCACCAAACACCAAGAGGAGGACGUAUUUUCUCUUGGUUAUCUAACAUAAUAUUCAGACUACAAUAAUUAAAAUAUGAAUAAAAUAAAUUCCGCACAUAUUGGCGAAAGCCGAGUAGCCUUUGGCACUUUGUAAUUAAGAUCAGUUUUGAUGAUCAUCUCCAGCAUUCUUACCUCAAUAACAAUUUAUUGGUGCAGGUCAGGUUUUUUUUAUAUACAGUAUGUACCACAAGAUGAUGUGACAACAGUGUAAAAUGGGUUUUCUCAGUUAAAGCUUCACUGUAAAAAAAACUACAUUUUAAGUCAACAAACUUCAGUUGUUUUAAGUUGACUCAACUUACAACGCAAUUACUGCACUUGACUUAAGUUGAGUAAACUCAAAAAUGUCCUGAAGUUUGUUGCCUUAAAAUUUUAAGUUGAGUUAACUUUUUUUUUUACAGUUUAGUUCCUCCCAAAAAUCUGAAUUUACUCAUCAUUUCCCCACCUCAAGUGGUUCGAAACGUUUAAAAUUUCUUUCUUCUAUUGAAGACAAAACAAGGUAUUCAGAAUGUUAGGAAAAAGUAGCCAUUGACAUCCAAAGAAGGAACAAAAAAUACUUCAACUAAUGGCUGACGCUUUCUGACAUUCUUCAUAGUAUCUCUCUUUGCGUUCAACAGAAGAAAGAAACUUAAACAGGUUUGGAACAACAGGGGGAGUAAAUGAUGACAAUUUUCAAAAUUUUGGGGGUGAACUAAUGCUGCCUGCAUGCUCUUUUAUUGUAGUAGAUUGUAUGAAAUAAUGUAAAUUUAAUAAAAAAAAAUUCUUCGGGAUGUAAAAAUGGUGCUCUGUUCUGAUGCGCAAAAGUGAAGCUACUAAGACACAGAACUUUGGUUUUAACAUGCCUAGGGAUAAAAAUCAUCUCUACCUCACUCCUGUAACAAUCAAUGCAGUAUAUUUAAUAGACGUUGUUUACACACACACACACACACACACAGACCAAAAUAACAACAUAGAAGAGUACUUUGGUAUACAUUGCUGUUUCUUUUAAUGAUCUCUGUAUGAAAAGCUUUUACCUAAAUAUCUGUGCAUGAUUUCUACUGCAUUUCUACAUUCACCAUUAAGUGAUUGCACUGUGUUUGUGUGCGCACAUGUAUAUGUAUAAUGUAUAAUA